rnacentral:lncRNA from 10 species
AGCGUGCCUGUGGUUAGGAAUGCAGCACUGUUUUGGUGGAACCUGCACAGGAGUGGUGAAGGGGACAGUGACACACUUCAUGCUGGCUGUCCUGUCCUGGUGGGAGAUAAGUGGGUGGCCAACAAGUGGAUACAUGAGUAUGGACAGGAAUUCCGCAGACCCUGCAGCUCCAGCCCUGAAGACUGAACUGUUGGCAGAGAGAAGCUGGUGGAGUCCUGUGGCUUUCCAGAGAAGCCAGGAGCCAAAAGCUGGGUCUUGAAAUGCAAAUAAGGAACCACUUCACACUUCCUAGGAUGGAUACAAUUAAAAAACAGAAAAUAAGUGUCACUACGGAUGUGAAGAAACUGGAACUCUCAUGCGUUGCUGGUGGGAAUGUGAAAUGGUGCAGCCACUGUGGAAAACAGAUUGGUGAUUUCUCAGAAAGAUAAACAUAGAACUGUCAUCUGACCCAGUUAUUCCACUCCCAGGUAUGUAUCUGAAAGAAUGGAAUGAUAGCUGUACACCCAUGGUCAUAGCAGCUUUAUUCACAAUCGUCAAAAGGUGGAAGCA